rnacentral:rRNA from 1 species
UACGUAGGGUGCGAGCGUUGUCCGGAAUUAUUGGGCGUAAAGAGCUCGUAGGCGGCUUGUCGCGUCGGAUGUGAAAGCCCGGGGCUUAACUCCGGGUCUGCAUUCGAUACGGGCAGGCUAGAGUUCGGUAGGGGAGAUCGGAAUUCCUGGUGUAGCGGUGAAAUGCGUAGAUAUCAAGAGGAACACCUGCGGCGAAGGCGGGUUGCUGGGCCGACACUGACGCUGAGGCGCGAAAGCCAGGGGAGCGAACGGG